AGGAAGGAAAGCUUGCUUUUCUGAAUCUAGUGGCGAACGGGUGAGUAACACGUAGGUAACCUGCCCAUGUGCCCGGGAUAACUUCUGGAAACGGAUGCUAAAACCGGAUAGGUAGCAGACAAGCAUUUGACUGCUAUUAAAGUGGCUAAGGCCAUGAACAUGGAUGGACCUGCGGUGCAUUAGCUAGUUGGUGAGGUAACGGCCCACCGUGGCUUCGACGGGUAGCCGGCCUGAGAGGUUGAACGGCCACAUUGGGACUGAGAUACGGCCCAGACUCC
rnacentral:rRNA from 1 species